CAGCAGCCGCGGUAAUACGAAGGGUGCAAGCGUUACUCGGAAUUACUGGGCGUAAAGCGUGCGUAGGUGGUGGUUUAAGUCCGUUGUGAAAGCCCUGGGCUCAACCUGGGAAUUGCAGUGGAUACUGGCUCGCUAGAGUGUGUCAGAGGAUGGUGGAAUUCCCGGUGUAGCGGUGAAAUGCGUAGAGAUCGGGAGGAACAUCAGUGGCGAAGGCGGCCAUCUGGGACAACACUGACGCUGAGGCACGAAAGCGUGGGGAGCAAACAGGAUUAGAUACCCGAGUAGUCCCUGUCUCUUAUAC
rnacentral:rRNA from 1 species